CAAUUACUUGCAAAUGGACAGCAGCUUCCCCAUCUUUCUGUUCAUAACAAUACAGAGAUAUCCUCCUAUGCCAACUCAGUGGCGCUUGUUAAACCAGAUUCUGCAGUGACUACAGAAUCAAAUCAAAAGGUAGGGCUGAGGAAGCAGUAUAAUCCUAUAUGUGACAACAUUGCCCCUGAGAAGCAUGUUGUCAAUAACAAUCCCCCAGGGUUUUCACCAAACCUUGUUAGACAGAAAAACAUUUCAGAUGGGAAACCAGAAAUGCCAUCCAAAAGUUUUUCUCCAUCUGUUGUUGGCCCACCAAAUGGUGGUGGUUAUAACCAGUACCGCAGUUUGCAAGAACCUAGUAGCAAGAGUUGCCAGUUAAAUGAGAUGGAACCUGGUUCAAAUUCCAAAGUUACCAAGGAAAACAAUGGAGCGGUGACUGAGGAAAGCAGGGAACUAGAGGAGGACAAGACUGCGCAAGAAAACGACCCCUUGGAGAACAUUGAUGGAGAUGACAAGACUGAUGAGGGCAGAAAAAGCAAGGAUGUUAAGGGGAUUCGGGCAUUUAAGUUUGCACUUGUGGAAUUCGUUAAGGAGCUUCUGAAACCCACAUGGAA
rnacentral:misc_RNA from 1 species